UACAGAAGCAUAGAUUUUCACAUACCGAUCUGAAGAGUUUGUGCAAAUCUGUCGCAUCUGUAGG
rfam:Caenorhabditis brenneri strain PB2801 C_brenneri-6.0.1_Cont0.1, whole genome shotgun sequence.